rnacentral:rRNA from 1 species
AACGAACGCUGGCGGCAUGCCUAACACAUGCAAGUCGAACGCGUGUAGGCAAUACACGAGUGGCGGACGGGUGAGUAACGCGUGGGAACCUGCCCAAUGGUAGGGAAUAACUGCGGGAAACUGCAGCUAAUACCCUAUGCUCCCUACGGGGGAAAGAUUUAUCGCCAUUGGAGGGGCCCGCGUCGGAUUAGCUAGUUGGCGGGGUAACGGCCCACCAAGGCUACGAUCCGUAGCUGGUCUGAGAGGAUGAUCAGCCACACUGGGACUGAGAUACGGCCCAGACUCCUACGGGAGGCAGCAGUGGGGAAUAUUGGACAAUGGGGGAAACCCUGGAUCCAGCAAUGCCGCGUGAGUGAAGAAGGCCUUAGGGUUGUAAAGCUCUUUCGGCGGGACGAUGGUGACGGUACCCGCAGAAGAAGCCCCGGCUAACUUCGUGCCAGCAGCCGC